ACUUGUAUUCCCCCCAGUGGGAGGAAGCUGACCUGUGGAGGAGGAGUGUCCAGUACUGAGAGCACCAUCUUCUCAGCGGAGCGCUUUCCACCAAACUCACCUCCCCCACCUCAGGGCCCUGAGCCAGGAGGAGAGCUGACACUUUGCAGUCAUCUCCUGCCAUGUGGGUUUGAACACUGUAAGAGCAGAGCUGACAGCCCCAGGGAGCCUGAAGUUGUUCAUGAGGAUAUCUUUUACAGAUCACCUUGUUUCCUGUGCCAAAUCAGCACUGACAGGAACCAAAGACAGAAACUCUUACAAAGCUGAAUUCUAGAGAAGAUUGAAUUCUGACUCCUUUUGCACUGGGAUGCCAAGCAACCAUGCAACUUGGAGGACUUGGGACCUUUUUCUUCUCAUGCCUGGAGCCAGCCUCAAACAUACAACAAAGUCCAUUCAGGAGCUAAUGUCAAGGGAGCAAGGUUUUUCAGCUACGGUAGAUGCAGACCUUACACCCACGCCCUGCAGAUGAUGGGCAUCUAGAAUAAGGGUCAAAUGUGCCUUCUUUGGCUACAAUAUGAAUCCUACUGAAUGUUGUUCAAUGUGGUGGAUGCCAUUUUCAUUGACUCUUAUUUUGAGAAAAAACAGAUCUUCGUAUAUCUAUUAUUUAUAAGGAGUGGCGGAUGUAUCAUGACUAAGAAUGAUGACUACAGAGCUCUAAUUUGGGAAUUCCUUAUCUUGCGAAAAACUCAUGAAAACAGAAUAGUUGUGACAAAUAAAUGCAUUUAUGUCAUUUUAUUUCUCUGGAGUCAGAUCCUGAUUGUACCCACCAAACUCCAUUCAUUUGAAUAUUCCCAUUGAUUAAGGGAAAGAGAGGAAAUAUGCUGCAUUACCUGUAGGAGGUGUGCCUGCUUUUGCUAACAGAUGUUCCUGCUUCGUGGAUGAAUGCCUAACUGGUCAGAUCCUUUCCUGGUGAACGCUGGUAUCUCUGAGCUGAUGAAGUCUCCUCAUAAAUCCCAGAUGUGAUAGCAGCAGCGUGACCCAUCACUUCAUUCCAUCAACAUGCAAAGCUCUGUAUUGUGCUGAGGAGGAGCUUAUCUGGUCAGAAUGGAUCCAGUCCAGGAACAAAUAAAGGAAUCUGGUUAUUUC
rnacentral:lncRNA from 7 species